rnacentral:rRNA from 1 species
CGCGUGGGUAACCUGCCCUGUACACACGGAUAACAUACCGAAAGGUAUACUAAUACGGGAUAACAUAUGAAAGUCGCAUGGCUUUUGUAUCAAAGCUCCGGCGGUACAGGAUGGACCCCGCGUCUGAUUAGCUAGUUGGUAAGGUAAUGGCUUACCAAGGCAACGAUCAGUAGCCGACCUGAGAGGGUGAUCGGCCACACUGGAACUGAGACACGGUCCAGACUCCUACGGGAGGCAGCAGUGGGGAAUAUUGCACAAUGGGCGAAAGCCUGAUGCAGCAACGCCGCGUGAGCGAUGAAG